rnacentral:sRNA from 1 species
GUCAAUAACCCCAACCUACUGCGUUGUUCGCGUAGCGUGGCCUACGGCCAGGUUGGGGCUUGGAGAGACAACUAACUCUCCCAGGUUUGACUAGGUCAUCGAGCCUCAUUCUGGUACGCACGUACGGAUACUUCCCCAGUCCGUACCACUGUAAGACUGUGUUGUCAGUCGCUUGCUGAAAGGACAUCUUGAAUGAGGUGACCGAAGGGACGGGUAACC